AGCUCGGGUCACGAACCGGAUUAGAUACCCGGGUAGUCCGAGCUGUAAACGAUGUCUGCUAGGUGUGACACAGGCUACGAGCCUGUGUUGUGCCGUAGGGAAGCCGUGAAGCAGACCGCCUGGGAAGUACGUCCGCAAGGAUGAAACUUAAAGGAAUUGGCGGGGGAGCACUACAACCGGAGGAGCCUGCGGUUUAAUUGGACUCAACGCCGGACAUCUCACCAGCAUCGACAAUGUGCAGUGACGGUCAGUAUGAUGAGCUUACCUGAGCCAUUGAGGGGAGGUGCAUGGCCGCCGUCAGCUCGUACCGUGAGGCGUCCUGUUAAGUCAGGCAACGAGCGAGACCCGCACCCUUAAUUGCCAGCAGCACCCUUGUGGUGGUUGGGUACAUUAAGAGGACUGCCAGUGCCAAACUGGAGGAAGGAACGGGCAACGGUAGGUCAGUAUGCCCCGAAUGUGCUGGGCGACACGCGGGCUACAAUGGCCGAGACAGUGGGAUGCAACCCCGAAAGGGGACGCUAAUCUCCGAAACUCGGUCGUAGUUCGGAUUGAGGGCUGAAACUCGCCCUCAUGAAGCUGGAUUCGGUAGUAAUCGCGCCUCAGAAGGGCGCGGUGAAUACGUCCCUGCUCC
rnacentral:rRNA from 1 species